UGAGUAACCUGCCCUUAACUCUGGGAUAAGCCUGGGAAACUGGGUCUAAUACCGGAUAUGACUCCUCAUCGCAUGGUGGGGGGUGGAAAGCUUUUUGUGGUUUUGGAUGGACUCGCGGCCUAUCAGCUUGUUGGUGAGGUAAUGGCUCACCAAGGCGACGACGGGUAGCCGGCCUGAGAGGGUGACCGGCCACACUGGGACUGAGACAUGGCCCAGACUCCUACGGGGGGCAG
rnacentral:rRNA from 1 species